rnacentral:rRNA from 1 species
CCUACGGGCCGCACCAGUGGGGAAUAUUACACAAUGGGCGCAAGCCUGAUGCAGCCAUGCCGCGUGUAUGAAGAAGGCCUUCGGGUUGUAAAGUACUUUCAGCGGGGAGGAAGGCGAUAAGGUUAAUAACCUUGUCGAUUGACGUUACCCGCAGAAGAAGCACCGGCUAACUCCGUGCCAGCAGCCGCGGUAAUACGGAGGGUGCAAGCGUUAAUCGGGAUUACUGGGCGUAAAGCGCACGCAGGCGGUCUGUCAAGUCGGAUGUGAAAUCCCCGGGCUCAACCUGGGAACUGCAUUCGAAACUGGCAGGCUGGGGUCUUGUAGAGGGGGGUAGAAUUCCAGGUGUAGCGGUGAAAUGCGUAGAGAUCUGGAGGAAUACCGGUGGCGAAGGCGGCCCCCUGGACAAAGGCUGACGCUCAGGUGCGAAAGCGUGGGGAGCGAACAGGAUUAGAUACCCGAGUAGUC